rnacentral:rRNA from 1 species
GCUUUACUGUAGUUUGGAAUUGACUUCGGAUUUGUUUUGCGCAGCAUAGGUGGGAGGCUAAGAAAGCACGUUUGCGGAUGUGUAGGAGCCACUAGUGAGAUACCACUCUUGACAAAUUAGAACUCUAACUUUGAAUGCCAUAAGCUGGCCAAAGAACAGUUCCAGAUAGGCAGUUUGACUGGGGCGGUCGCCUCCUAAAAAGUAACGGAGGCGCGCAAAGGUUUCCUCAGACUGGUCGGAAAUCAGUCGUAGAGUGUAAAGGCAUAAGGAAGCUUGACUGCAAGACCUACAAGUCGAGCAGAGACGAAAGUCGGCCUUAGUGAUCCGACAGUGCCGAGUGGAAGGGCUGUCGCUCAACGGAUAAAAGUUAC